rnacentral:rRNA from 1 species
GAGUUUGAUCAUGGCUCAGGAUGAACGCUAGCGGCAGGCUUAACACAUGCAAGUCGAGGGGUAUAGGCUUUCGGGCCUAGAGACCGGCGCACGGGUGCGUAACGCGUAUGCAACCUACCUUUCACAGAGGGAUAGCCCAGAGAAAUUUGGAUUAAUACCUCAUAGUAUAAUGGUGUGGCAUCACAUUAUUAUUAAAGUUCCAACGGUGAAAGAUGGGCAUGCGUCCCAUUAGCUAGAUGGUAAGGUAACGGCUUACCAUGGCUACGAUGGGUAGGGGUCCUGAGAGGGAGAUCCCCCACACUGGUACUGAGACACGGACCAGACUCCUACGGGAG